rnacentral:rRNA from 1 species
CUAACGAGGAUUCCCCUAGUAACGGCGAGUGAAGCGGGAAGAGCUCAAAUUUGUAAUCUGGUGGCCUUUGGUCGCCCGAGUUGUAGUCUGGAGAAGCGUUUUCUGUGCCGGACCGUGUACAAGUCCCUUGGAACAGGGCGUCGUAGAGGGUGAGAAUCCCGUCUUUGACACGGACUGCCGGUGCUUUGUGAUGCGCUCUCAAAGAGUCGAGUUGUUUGGGAAUGCAGCUCAAAAUGGGUGGUAAAUUCCAUCUAAAGCUAAAUAUUGGCGAAAGACCGAUAGCGAACAAGUACCGUGAGGGAAAGAUGAAAAGCACUUUGGAAAGAGAGUUAAACAGUACGUGAAAUUGUUGAAAGGGAAACGCUUGAAGUCAGUCGCGUCUUCCGGGAUUCAGCUGUGUGAAAAAAAAAGCACAGUGUACUUCCCGGAGCGACGGGCCAGCAUCGAUUUUGACCGUYGGAGAAAGGCCUCGGGAACGUGGCACCCUUUGGGUGUGUUAUAGCCCUGGGUCGUAUGCGACGGUUGGGAUCGAGGACCGCAGCACGCCUCUUUGGCCGGGGUUCGCCCACGUAACGUGCUUAGGAUGCUGGCGUAAUGGCUUUAAGCGACCCGUCUUG